GUAGAUGUGCAAAAAAAAAUUUAUAAGGAUAUAUAUAUAUGUAAGUAAUAAGUUUAUAAGGGUAUUUAUAUAAAUUUGAAUAUUUUAGAAGGGUAUAUAUGUAAGAAAUCUAAAUUAGAAUUUAUGUAAUAUAUCUUUCUUGGUUUGUUAACUCUUUUCUUAUUCUAACAGAGAAAAAUUAGUAUACUCAACUAAAAUAAUGAAUAUAUUUAAUUUAUUGACUUAUAUAGAUAAAAAGAUCUUUUUAUCAAAUGAUAGAUCAAAAUUAUUAUAUCUAAAAAAUAGAC
rnacentral:lncRNA from 1 species